rnacentral:rRNA from 1 species
UCCAGACUCCUACGGGAGGCAGCAGUGGGGGAUAUUGGACAAUGGGGGGAACCCUGAUCCAGCGAUGCCGCGUGAGGGAAGAAGGUUUUCGGAUUGUAAACCUCUGUGGACAGGGACGAUAAUGACGGUACCUGUCAAGAAAGCCACGGCUAACUACGUGCCAGCAGCCGCGGUAAUACGUAGGUGGCAAGCGUUGUCCGGAAUUACUGGGUGUAAAGGGAGCGUAGGCGGGAAGCCAAGUCAGCUGUGAAAACUACGGGCUUAACCUGUAGACUGCAGUUGAAACUGGCUUUCUUGAGUGAAGUAGAGGUUGGCGGAAUUCCGAGUGUAGCGGUGAAAUGCGUAGAUAUUCGGAGGAACACCGGUGGCGAAGGCGGCCAACUGGGCUUUAACUGACGCUGAGGCUCGAAAGUGUGGGGAGCAAACAGGAUUAGAUACCCGAGUAC